AUUCAGCACCUUGGCCAGCGACGCUAAGCGCGAGCUACCGAACUUCAGCACCGUGGCCAGCGCCGCGGGGAAUGAGAGCGGGGCGGAGCGGCCGAAACUCCCACCGAAAAUCACGGGCCAAUCAGGAGCGCCGCUGGAGCAUUCACCCUCCAGGAGGAAAGAACAGCAGGAAACAAGGCUCAGCGGGUGGAGGGGGGAAAGGGGGGCGUACCAAACAGGACUAAUGCUUGUUGUCUCUCAUAUUCUUUUACAAACACAUCUAACACAUCAUUGCCGGCUGAGCCUUCGCUACGGUCCUAGAGAUGGCUGCUUCACCUUUAUCCUGCCGUCCCCCUCCUGCUGCCUAGUUUUGGAGCCUGGACCUCUGCCCAACGACCCCUUAAAGGUUUGAACGAUCAGCCGACAAAGUCGACAAAAAUGAUCUCUAUUCAGGACUACUUCACAUCACUCGUCUACCAAACCCCUGCCAUCUGUUCUUUCAUCCCUCCAUCGCCUCAGCACAGUCAGCUCUUCACUUUAAUACCACAAGUUCCAAGCAAACCGAUGAUGCACUUUUUCAAAAGAGAGUCUGGAACGUUGGACACUUCACGUACUCAAGGAUCGCAGCGAUGCUUGUGGAAAGGAAAAAGAGGGGUCACAACUAUAUGAAACAUCUAUAUGUUUAUCAGCAUCAUCACAGUCUUCCUUCUACAUCCCAUAAUAGUCAUCUUCUCUCAUAUUUAUCUAAAGUUUCCAAAAAAUCUCCACACAGGACCUUAGCCAUACCGACUCUUUAAGCCAGGCACAAAUCCCAGGAGACCCUGAGACAACCACAUGGACGAAUGACCCUUUGCCUGGAACUCUGAUCACUUCGGAGGCAUGUUUCACAAUACUGUUCGGAUUGUGCCACGAAUCUGCACUUUAACACGCUCGCUCAAAAUGAAACUUUAUUAAGAACAUUCACGAAAUGAUCCAAGGCUCAUUGAAACUACGCAGGUGAAAACUCGGAGUGAUAACGAUAAUGUGUUCGAUUCGGGAGAGGAGUCGGGGAUGUGACCUCUUCAGCUGUUCAGAAAAAGAAAGAAAAGAGUAAAACGUCUGCUACACGCAUAUAGAUCCCAAAGUCAUUCUGAAUGUUGACUGAUUACUAAAUAAAUUCCUUCGUGACUCUCCAUGAAGUUUCAGGUCCACGUCCAGUUCACUCCUAAUUACGAUAAAAGUCGUUAGCUCCGUUUCUGGAGUUUUGGUGUAUGUAAACAUUUGAGCGAUUGGAAUACUGAUAUAGUAGAAAAAGGUGAAUUAAAUCUGUUUUUAUAUGAAAAUAGCCAGAAACUCCUACAGUCACAUAAAUAGUGUUUUGAAAAACUGAGAUAAAAAAAUCUGUAGCUUAGGCGCAUUUAAUAUUGUAGAUGACAUAAGAGUUACACCCCGAUGCCACCUCAUGUCUGAAAACCUGCCCCCCUUUUUUUUCACCUAUACUGUGAAUGGAAUAUUUACCUUUCUGGCAUUUAACAGACACCUUUAUCCAGAGUGACUUACAAUUUAUACAACUGAGCAAUUAAGGGUUAAGGGCCUUGACUCUCUCACACACACACACACACACUCAAACUCU